CUGGGAUGCCCCACAGACCUGGCCCAGACCAAUCCACACGGGGUGGGUAGGGGCUUUCACCUGAGAGAACCCCCCUCCCAAUUCCCCUGGCCCCAACCCUGGUGAAGGUUGCUGGGAGGCUGGGGGGAGGAGUCGGUUCCUGGUGGGGAAGCUGCCCUUCGGGUCACAUUUCCCCCGUGGCAGGAUGAAUGGGCUGCUCUGGUCCAGGCUGGUUCCGAGCUGUUAACCCCCUUUCUCCUGCUGGGUCCGGCAUCACCAUGGCUGCCCCAUGCCUCCAAGUGCAGAUCACGUUCUGUGGCAGCUGAGGAUACAGAAGCCGGUUCCUGCAGCUGCAGGAGUUCCUAGAGAAACGCUUCCCAAAGCAGUUGGAGAUUACAGGGGAAAUGGCCCCCGGCUCUGGGGCCUUUGAGAUUCUUCUCCCUGACAGUGGCCAGGUCCUGCACUCCAAGCUCAACGGUGAUGGCUAUGUGGACAGUAACGCCAAGGUGCAGCGCAUCUGUGAAGGCAUCAGCAAGGUCCUGAAACAGUAGCGAGCAGGGAUUGGGGUGCUGUGCUUUCCAGGGCACCACAUGACGGGAUCAGCCGAAAGGGAGUCUCAGCCCAGGCCAGUCCCCGACCUCCCCCCGAUGCUCCAACCCCUGUGGCUGUCGCCAAGCAAUAAAGAGCAACAUCCUGGCAGGCA